rnacentral:tRNA from 1 species
GCCGAAGUGGUGGAAUUGGUAGACACGCUACCUUGAGGGGGUAGUGGGCAAGCGCCCGUGGAGGUUCGAGUCCUCUCUUCGGCACCA